AGUGUCAUUCCCGAUCAUUGAAUGUCCAAGGGGGACAGAAAUAGGGUUUGAACUGAGUUAUUUCCUGGCGAAGUGGUUCAAUCCCUAUGUUCCGAAAUCCCAGGAAACUCAAUGUGAAUGGUUCCUGUAUUAAAUGCAUGUUCCAACACAAACAAGGCAGCGGGGAGGUAUAGCGAUGGUUGGCAAAUACACACCCUUUGGCCGGCUAUACUUCCUGGCCAGUUUUGCACCGUAGGAUCUGCUUGGAGAUAACCAUUUACAUUGGGUUUCCUGGGACUUCGUAUAAACACGGGGACUUCCCUUCGGAACAUAAGGCGGUCAAAUUCAGGAUGUGACUCACUACGCAAGGUUCGUCAUCCUUGUCAGGGAGGAUCUAGAAGUAGGACCACAGCGACCAAACCAACAUUCAAGAACAACAGGUGAUUCGACUCUUCAUGGCGAGGAGACAUGUGACUGCGGAGGCGCUUGCAACUGUCACACUUUCACGUCAAACAAAGAGGAGAACUGUUAUCUUCCAGUGGGUCGCAUCAAAGAUGCUAUUCGAUCAAAACGUGCGAUCGCUGACGAUGUGCCGUCUUGAGUGCCGUUCAAAAGGAACCUUUUGCAUGGACCGAGACCCCGUGCAGCAAGAUUCUCCAACACGUCACCUACACGCUUUGAAUCCUCCCCACUACGACCGAUGCCCCGUUCUCGCACACUGUCUAAACCGUGCACAUUGCAAGCUUUAUAUUACGUCAAGUACAUGUGAUUUCGGUUUGACUACAUUUUUCCACGAACAAUACAUUCAAUGGCUUAAUCAUAUUGUGCUAGAGUACUGCCAUAUGAUAUUUGUAGCACCAUAAUUCUUGAAAUGUGUAAUCCCAGAUGUAGUGAAGUUGUGAUGCCACAUUUUGCCAGUAGUCUCUGAUUGUUAUUUCUCUCGUGUCCAUGUUUGACCACUGAGUUUAUACCGCAAACGUUUACAUGUUUACACAUCGAAUUGUAUCGAGCACAAGCUGAACUUGAAUCGUUUGAUAAGGGCCAUGUAGAUUUAAAACUUGUAAUUAGAGCUAUCAGUAACAAACGAAUAGCUUGAAAUACUUUGCUGACAAAUGUGCAACAAGGCAUUGCUAAAAUACAACCGUAUUUACAUAUAUACAAGUAUAAUCAAGCUAAAUAUGAACUGUAAAGGGUCCAUCCCUCUGUAGAUUGCACCAUUUGUAUUGUAACCAGUAGUUUUACGUCUUCAGUUGUAUAGUUUUGCCUUUUUCCUUGCCAAUCAAUACACCUAAUUGCAAUGGA